CAUGUGCGCAAGUCAUUGGGCGCUACUAAACCUAUAGGCAUAAUGAAAGUGAAAGUUUUCUCUGCGGAGACCGAGGGCCGAUCCCGCGACUCCCUCUGUAGGGCCGGGCGCAGGCUCGGGACUUGCACGCCCCAUAGUGGGCGGUGAGUACCAAGAGCGUACAUGUUGGGACCCGAAAGAUGGUGAACUAUACCUGGUCAGGACGAAGCCAGAGGAAACUCUGGUGGAGGUCCGCAGCGAUUCUGACGUGCAAAUCGAUCGUCGGAGCUGGGUAUAGGGGCGAAAGACUAAUCGAACCAUCUAGUAGCUGGUUCCCUCCGAAGUUUCCCUCAGGAUAGCUGGUGCUCGUCACACAGAGUUUCAUACGGUAAAGCGAAUGAUUAGAGGUCUUGGGGACGAAACGUUCUCAACCUAUUCUCAAACUUUAAAUGGGUGAGAGGUCGGGCUUGCUUAACUGAAGCCUCGACAGUGAAUCUGAGUACCUAGUGGGCCAUUUUUGGUAAGCAGAACUGGCGCUGUGGGAUGAACCAAACGUCGAGUUAAGGGGCCUAAAUGAACGCUCAUCAGAUCCCAUGAAAGGUGUUGGUUGCUAUAGACAG
rnacentral:rRNA from 1 species